rnacentral:rRNA from 1 species
AUUCCAGCUCCAAUAGCGUAUAUUAAAGUUGUUGCGGUUAAAAAGCUCGUAGUUGGAUUUCUGCUGAGGACGACCGGUCCGCCCUCUGGGUGAGUAUCUGGCUUGGCCUUGGCAUCUUCUUGGAGAACGUAGCUGCACUUGACUGUGUGGUGCGGUAUCCAGGACUUUUACUUUGAGGAAAUUAGAGUGUUUCAAGCAGGCACACGCCUUGAAUACAUUAGCAUGGAAUAAUAAGAUAGGACCUUGGUUCUAUUUUGUUGGUUUCUAGAGCUGAGGUAAUGAUUAAUAGGGACAGUUGGGGGCUUUCAUAUUCCAUUGUCAGAGGUGAAAUUCUUGGAUUAACGGAAGAUGAACUUCUGCGAAAGCAUCUGCCAAGGAUGUUUUCAUCG